rnacentral:rRNA from 1 species
CGUGCAGGCGGGUUGGUAAGUCAGAUGUGAAAGCCCUGGGCUCAACCCAGGAAUGCAUUUGAAACUGCCAUCCUUGAGUAUGGGAGAGGAGAGUGGAAUUCCCAAUGUAGAGGUGAAAUUCGUAGAUAUUGGGAGGAACACCCGUGGCGAAGGCGACUCUCUGGACCAAUACUGACGCUGAGACGCGAAAGCGUGGGGAGCAAACA